AUUGAACGCUGGCGGCCGGCCUAACACAUGCAAGUCGAGCGAGCGGCGGACGGGUGAGUAAUGUAUGGGGACUGCCCGAUAGAGGGGGAUAACUACUGGAAACGGUAGCUAAUACCGCAUACUAUCGGAUAACCCAUAUGGGAUUAGCUAGUAGGUGAGGUAAUGGCUCACCUAGGCUACGCUCCCUUGCUGGGCUGCGAGGAUGAUCAGCCACACUGGGACGAAGACACGGCCAAGACUCCUACGGAGGCAGCAGUGGUGAAUAGUGCACAAGGGGCGCAAGCCUGAUGCAGCCAUGCCGCGUGUAUGAAGAAUGCCCUAUGGUUGUAAAGUACUUUCAGUCGGGAGGCGUUACCGACAGAAGAAGCACCGGCUAACUCCGGGCCAGCAGCCGCGGUAAUUC
rnacentral:rRNA from 1 species